AGCACAGUGGCUCAGUGGUUAGCACUGUUGCCUCACAGAAAAAAGGUCCUGCGUUCGAGUCCUGGCUGUCCAA